rnacentral:rRNA from 1 species
AACGAACGCUGGCGGCAUGCCUAACACAUGCAAGUCGAACGAGACCUUCGGGUCUAGUGGCGCACGGGUGCGUAACGCGUGGGAACCUGCCCUUAGGUUCGGAAUAACUCCCCGACAGGGGUGCUAAUACCGGAUAAUGUCUUCGGACCAAAGAUUUAUCGCCUUUGGAUGGGCCCGCGUUGGAUUAGCUAGUUGGUAGGGUAAAAGCCUACCAAGGCGACGAUCCAUAGCUGGUCUGAGAGGAUGAUCAGCCACACUGGGACUGAGACACGGCCCAGACUCUUACGGGAGGCAGCAGUGGGUGAUAUUGGAAAAUGGGGGGAAGCCUGAUCCAGCAAUGCCGCGUGAGUGAUGAAGGCCUUAGGGUUGUAAAGCUCUUUUACCCGGGAUGAUAAUGACAGUACCGGGAGAAUAAGCUCCGGCUAACUCCGUG